GGCACCUUUUAAUCCCGGGGUGCUGUUGUUUCUCCACAAAUGUUCACGCUCCAGAUCAUGUUUAACGGGAGCUUGGACAACCCCGCGGCGAAGCUUCGCCAGUGCCUUCGCCGCCCGUGAGCAUCACCGGCCUGGCUGCACUGCCGGCCACGCAGGCAGGCACUGCCGCUGCCGCCUGUCCUUGCACGGAAAAGGGGUUUUUCCUCUGUGUUUUCCUUCCUCCAAAGCAGCCUCCAGAGAGCGUAAUAGCGAGCGGUGGCCCUGGAUGCACCUCGGGCAAUGCUGCGUCCUCGGCCGGCGCCUGUGGGUCCUGCUGCUGCCGGCCUGUGACCUCCGCAGGGGCCUUACCGAUGUCCCUGCUGGUUCCCGGUCUGGGUGUGGACGUCCCGGCUGCAGCGACCUUCCUCCUCCUCCUCCUCGCCGCGCGAAGCAGCGGUACGGUGCAGUGUACGCAGACCUGCCCUGCCGGGCUUUGCCUUCCCAGGCUCUGGAGCCUCCCUCAUCCACAGCAGUGAGAUACCGCGCUCUCCUGUUGGUCAUCCCCAAAAUCGAGGAGU